GAUGAACGCUGGCGGCGUGCCUAAUACAUGCAAGUCGAGCGAACGGACGAGAAGCUUGCUUCUCUGAUGUUAGCGGCGGACGGGUGAGUAACACGUGGAUAACCUACCUAUAAGACUGGGAUAACUUCGGGAAACCGGAGCUAAUACCGGAUAAUAUUUUGAACCGCAUGGUUCAAAAGUGAAAGACGGUCUUGCUGUCACUUAUAGAUGGAUCCGCGCUGCAUUAGCUAGUUGGUAAGGUAACGGCUUACCAAGGCAACGAUGCAUAGCCGACCUGAGAGGGUGAUCGGCCACACUAGAGCUGAGACACGGUCCAGACUCCGACGGGAGGCAGCAGUAGGGAAUCUUCCGCAAUGGGCGAAAGCCUGACGGAGCAACGCCGCGUGAGUGAUGAAGGUCUUCGGAUCGUAAAACUCUGUUAUUAGGGAAGAACAUAUGUGUAAGUAACUGUGCACAUCUUGACAGUACCUAAUCGGAAAGCCACGGCUAACUACGUG
rnacentral:rRNA from 1 species